CAAUAGCGUAUAUUAAAGUUGUUGCGGUUAAAAAGCUCGUAGUUGGAUUUCUGUGGUAGGCAGCCGGUCCACACUAUGUGUGAGUAUCUGGUUCGGCUACUGCAUCCUCCUGAGGAACGUUGGUGCGCUUCACUGCGUGGCACGGUAUUCAGGACUUUUACUUUGAGGAAAUUAGAGUGUUCACGGCAGGCGUUUGCCCUGAAUAUAUUAGCAUGGAAUAAUGAUAUAGGAUCCACGUCCUAUUUUGUUGGUUUCUAGGACGAGGAUAAUGAUUAAUAGGGAUAAUUGGGGGCAUUCGUAUUAACACGUCAGAGGUGGAAUUCUUGGAUUGUGUUACGACGAACUACUGCGAAAGCAUUUGCCAAGGAUGUUUUCAUUGAUCAAGAACGAAAGUAAGGGGAUCGAAGACGAUUAGAUACCAU
rnacentral:rRNA from 1 species